rnacentral:rRNA from 1 species
AACGAACGCUGGCGGCAGGCCUAACACAUGCAAGUCGAGCGCCCCGCAAGGGGAGCGGCGGACGGGUGAGUAACGCGUGGGAAUAUGCCCUUUGCUACGGAAUAGUCUCGGGAAACUGGGGGUAAUACCGUAUACGCCCUUUGGGGGAAAGAUUUAUCGGCGAAGGAUCAGCCCGCGUUGGAUUAGGUAGUUGGUGGGGUAAUGGCCUACCAAGCCGACGAUCCAUAGCUGGUUUGAGAGGAUGAUCAGCCACACUGGGACUGAGACACGGCCCAGACUCCUACGGGAGGCAGCAGUGGGGAAUCUUAGACAAUGGGGGCAACCCUGAUCUAGCCAUGCCGCGUGAGUGAUGAAGGCCUUAGGGUUGUAAAGCUCUUUCAGCUGGGAAGAUAAUGACGGUACCAGCAGAAGAAGCCCCGGCUAACUCCGUG